rnacentral:rRNA from 1 species
GCUGGAGAUACUAUUAGGCUGAGAUCGGGAGAGGUCAGAGGUGCGUCCUGGGGUAGGGGGUGAAAAUCCUGGUAAUCCUAGGAGGACCACCUGCGGCGAAGGCGUCUGACUAGAACGAAUCUGACGGUGAGGAACGAAAGCUAGGGGCGCGAACCGGAUUAGAUACCCGGGUAGUCCUAGCCGUAAACUAUGCGGACUUGGUGUGAGGGUGGCUUUGAGCCGUCCUGGUGCCGAAGGGAAGCUGUUAAGUCCGCCGCCUGGGAAGUACGGUCGCAAGACUGAACUUAAAGGAAUUGGCGGGGAGCACCACAACGCGUGGAGCCUGCGGUUUAAUUGGAUUCAACGCCGGAGAUCUCACCAGCGGCGACAGCAGUAUGAUGACCAGGUUGAUGACUUUGUUUGACAAGCUGAGUAGAGGUGCAUGG